rnacentral:rRNA from 1 species
AUUGAACGCUGGCGGCAGGCCUAACACAUGCAAGUCGAGCGGUUGAGGUAGCUUGCUACCGAUACAGCGGCGGACGGGUGAGUAAUGCCUAGGAAUCUGCCUGGUAGUGGGGGACAACGUUUCGAAAGGAACGCUAAUACCGCAUACGUCCUACGGGAGAAAGCAGGGGACCUUCGGGCCUUGCGCUAUCAGAUACGCCUAGGUCGGAUUAGCUAGUUGGUGGGGUAAUGGCUCACCAAGGCGACGAUCCGUAACUGGUCUGAGAAGAUGAUCAGUCACACUGGAACUGAGACACGGUCCAGACUCCUACGGGAGGCAGCAGUGGGGAAUAUUGGACAAUGGGCGAAAGCCUGAUCCAGCCAUGCCGCGUGUGUGAAGAAGGUCUUCGGAUUGUAAAGCACUUUAAGUUGGGAGGAAGGGCAGUAAGCGAAUACCUUGCUGUUUUGACGUUACCGACAGAAUAAGCACCGGCUAACUCUGUGCCAGCCGCCGCCGUAAGAC